UUUUAUGGAGAGUUUGAUCCUGGCUCAGGAUGAACGCUGGCGGCGUGCCUAAUACAUGCAAGUCGAGCGAACGGACGAGAAGCUUGCUUCUCUGAUGUUAGCGGCGGACGGGUGAGUAACACGUGGAUAACCUACCUAUAAGACUGGGAUAACUUCGGGAAACCGGAGCUAAUACCGGAUAAUAUUUUGAACCGCAUGGUUCAAAAGUGAAAGACGGUCUUGCUGUCACUUAUAGAUGGAUCCGCGCUGCAUUAGCUAGUUGGUAAGGUAACGGCUUACCAAGGCAACGAUGCAUAGCCGACCUGAGAGGGUGAUCGGCCACACUGGAACUGAGACACGGUCCAGACUCCUACGGGAGGCAGCAGUAGGGAAUCUUCCGCAAUGGGCGAAAGCCUGACGGAGCAACGCCGCGUGAGUGAUGAAGGUCUUCGGAUCGUAAAACUCUGUUAUUAGGGAAGAACAUAUGUGUAAGUAACUGUGCACAUCUUGACGGUACCUAAUCAGAAAGCCACGGCUAACUACGUGCCAGCAGCCGCGGUAAUACGUAGGUGGCAAGCGUUAUCCGGAAUUAUUGGGCGUAAAGCGCGCGUAGGCGGUUUUUUAAGUCUGAUGUGAAAGCCCACGGCUCAACCGUGGAGGGUCAUUGGAAACUGGAAAACUUGAGUGCAGAAGAGGAAAGUGGAAUUCCAUGUGUAGCGGUGAAAUGCGCAGAGAUAUGGAGGAACACCAGUGGCGAAGGCGACUUUCUGGUCUGUAACUGACGCUGAUGUGCGAAAGCGUGGGGAUCAAACAGGAUUAGAUACCCUGGUAGUCCACGCCGUAAACGAUGAGUGCUAAGUGUUAGGGGGUUUCCGCCCCUUAGUGCUGCAGCUAACGCAUUAAGCACUCCGCCUGGGGAGUACGACCGCAAGGUUGAAACUCAAAGGAAUUGACGGGGACCCGCACAAGCGGUGGAGCAUGUGGUUUAAUUCGAAGCAACGCGAAGAACCUUACCAAAUCUUGAUAUCCUUUGACAACUCUAGAGAUAGAGCCUUCCCCUUCGGGGGACAAAGUGACAGGUGGUGCAUGGUUGUCGUCAGCUCGUGUCGUGAGAUGUUGGGUUAAGUCCCGCAACGAGCGCAACCCUUAAGCUUAGUUGCCAUCAUUAAGUUGGGCACUCUAAGUUGACUGCCGGUGACAAACCGGAGGAAGGUGGGGAUGACGUCAAAUCAUCAUGCCCCUUAUGAUUUGGGCUACACACGUGCUACAAUGGACAAUACAAAGGGCAGCGAAACCGCGAGGUCAAGCAAAUCCCAUAAAGUUGUUCUCAGUUCGGAUUGUAGUCUGCAACUCGACUACAUGAAGCUGGAAUCGCUAGUAAUCGUAGAUCAGCAUGCUACGGUGAAUACGUUCCCGGGUCUUGUACACACCGCCCGUCACACCACGAGAGUUUGUAACACCCGAAGCCGGUGGAGUAACCUUUUAGGAGCUAGCCGUCGAAGGUGGGACAAAUGAUUGGGGUGAAGUCGUAACAAGGUAGCCGUAUCGGAAGGUGCGGCUGGAUCACCUCCUUUCUAA
rnacentral:rRNA from 1 species